UUUUGCGAUGAUGAUCACUGUGUAUCCCAGCUCAUUACGAGACCUUUUGUGGUCCGGGAAUAAAUUAGAUUCACAUAUUAUCUGAGCCCAGAA